rnacentral:rRNA from 1 species
UACAGAGGGUGCAAGCGUUGUCCGGAUUUACUGGGCGUAAAGAGCGCGCAGGCGGUCGAUCAAGUCGCGUGUGAAAGCCCCCGGCUCAACUGGGGAGGGUCACGCGAUACUGAUCGACUCGAAGGCAGGAGAGGGUAGUGGAAUUCCCGGUGUAGUGGUGAAAUGCGUAGAUAUCGGGAGGAACACCAGUGGCGAAGGCGACUACCUGGCCUGUUUCUUGACGCUGAGGCGCGAAAGCUAGGGGAGCAAACGGG